UCAUCUGGGAACAUUGGUCAGCUGUUGAUAGUAAUUAAAUUCCAGGCUUUUUUAAUCUGAAAAUUGUAGCAAUGUAACCUUAACUUUUCAUAAGCUACGCUCUACAUGCACAUUCAUAAGCCAGUUCCCUUAAGCUCAGCUGAGAUCUCUGUAUUUUACAAGUUAUUAUGGGCAACAGAUUAAUAUUAAAAUUAAUACUGGAAGUAUUAGAAUUGUUUUUUCCUCUCUCCUGAGCAAUAAGAACACCUCUGUUCUCCUCAUGCACAGAGGAGAACAUGUGUAAAUUCAAUCACUUCAGCUGUGUGACUGAUGUAUUUUAUCUUGGAGCUCUGUGAUCUUCUGUCUUGUCACCAUCUGCACGAAGGUUUCUUUGCAGCUGCCUGGUUUCCUUCAUCCCUGUGGGCUGUGCUGGGGGUGGUUGGAUCCCCUGCCUGGGGUCUGAGGUAUGGGGUGUGGGCAGGUGGCUGUGGGACUGCAGGCAGAGUCCAGGCAUGGGAUGCUCUCAGCAGUUUUCCUGCAAAAGGACAUGAAUCAUGGAAUCAUAGAAUGGCCUGGGAUGAAAAGGACCACAAGGACCAUCUAGUUUCCACCUCCCUGCUAUGUGCAGGGUCACCAACCACCAGACCAGGCUGCCCGGAGCCACAUCCAGCCUGGGAAGAUGGAUGUGAAGAUGGAGAUGUCCUGAAGGAGGCUUCCAAAAGUCUCAGGGAGAAAACACUGGUAUCUGAUGAGGCAGUGCAGGAAUCGUUACCCAGAUGAGGCCGGUUCUUGGCUCAACAUUGUUUGAGAUGCCUCUUCUGCCCUGCCUCGUGUUGGAAGAACUCCUCGUAUCUGUGCCUGCCUCUUCUCCAUGGUGGUUUUAACACCAGGACUGCCACACCGCUCUGGCUGAGGCAACAAGGAAGGCCACAGCCUAACUGUAUUUUAAAUAACCACGUAAUGCUUCAGUAUCUCAACUACUUCUUGUGAAGCAGCUUCUAUCAUAUCUGAAAGAUGAGUUAUAAUUUGGAGAUUGGCCUUGGUGAUCUCCAGAGGUCCCUUUCAACCCUUAUGGUUCUGUGAUUAUCAGUCGUGGGUAAGCAGAACUGGCAGCUGAAUGAGGUACUGGGGCUUAAAUGAUGCACUGAGCUUGGGAAUGGUCUGAGGGCUGGUACACCUCUACAGCAGUGCUUUCUAUUUGUGUUCUUCAAGCACGUUUUUGCUGGAGAACACACAGGGCCACACAGUGAUGGAUGGGGCGUGCUGUCAUUUUGAGUCACCGGCAUUUUGGGAUGGAAUAGGAAAGCUCCUUAAAAGCAGCCAGUGUCACAUUUGCAGCUUCAUUUUCAUGGGCGAAUAUUGCUUUGAGACUAAUGUAAGCUCUAUGUAUUAUUUGGUACUGAAAGUGUGCUAUGGAAUUUCAUUUCAAAGUACUCUCAGGGUCAUUUAUGCACAUAUAAUGGGUGGAUAAGUCAAACAAAGAGCCCUUCUCUGCCACUCUGGGCACCAGGUCAUGCUGAGGCAUCCAUGCUGGGAGCCAGAAUAGAUACCAGCACAAGUUUGCUGCUUCACUAUCCUGCUUUCUGCCCCAAAUACCCAUCUGCUCAGCUCUGCUUCUGCAGAGCAUGGAGGCAGUGGCUGAGGUUUGUGAUACUGAGGAGGAGGGGAAGGUGGCGCAGUCAAUGGUGAGGGCUGAUGUGUUCUGGGGGCAGCUGGUAGGAAGCUGGCAUCAGUGUGCUCUGUGAGCCCACCCUGAGCUGGCAUUUCAUUGAGAGCCUUUUUAGAGGCUGUGUGUUGUUUUGUCUAAUAGAAAACAAGCUUUGCAAAUGAGCUGCUGAGCACUUUAGCAGGGGGUAUUUUUUUUUUGCAUGUUUGCAAUAUUCAGUUCAGGCAUUGACAGCUGUGAACUUCACAAUGAGACUGACACUUGAGAUCUGUGUAAAGGUCAAUUUUUUAAUUGUGCCUUAUAGAUAAAAGAAAUAUCUACAUCGAUAUAGUCUAAUCGCAUUGAUUUCAGCACGGAGUUUUCAAUUAUUAUUCAGAAUUCUCUGUUAUCUCGUUGCAGUCCCACAGCCUUAGCAGGCAGUGCAAUGCUCCGUGAGAUAACCUUUAACUCAUGCUGCUGGGUCAAAAGUGAGUUGUGAUGAGUACUCCCUGCCAUUCCACAGUGAACUGUCUGGGUAAGGAAGGCAUCUGUUGCUGCAGUGCAGAUCAUGAUGCACUGAGGAUGCCUUCAGUUCUGAUACGGUAUAUUGGCUGUUUGCAGGUCUGCUGGUGCACAAAUAAGCCAAGAUCUCUUCCAUGCAGGAAGCUGCACUGCAGGGCAGUGGGAGGAAUGGCUGUGAUUAUCCCAUUACAAAGAGAAGGAUGUCUUAACAUUGGAAUCAUUGCUCGUGUUUUAGAGUGACCUUGUAAAGUAUGGUUCAUCACAGGGGGAUCGAUACUAAAUAAUAAUGCUUCUGCUUAGUUCCAGUAAAUACCUUGGGUUUAUCUAGGAGGUAUCACUCAGCUGUUUCCAACAGCUUCUAUGUGAUCAGCUGAAGCCAAAACACAUCUGCUUCUCAUAGGUGUGCCUGUAGGACUCUGCUGUUAGUGGUGUUCAGGGUAGCCAGAGGUACUCCCUGUUGUCUCAGUAGGAAACCUUUCAGUGUAUGAAGGACAAUGUUUCCAUGAAAAUAUCAAUACAAUGGUGGGCACACCUCCAUUGACAGUUCACAGCCCAGUAUUUCCUCCGCACGGUUGGAGUGUGGUAUAAUGUCAAAGGUCUGCCUGUCCCUUGCUGGACAUGGGAUGGAGGUGCCUGAGGCUGCUAUGGGCUGGGCAGCCCAACAUCAUGUAUGUAUAUAUGGCCAGGCAGGAUGUGGCUCUGGGCAGCCUGGUCUGGUGGUUGGUGACCCUGCACGUAGCAGGGGGUUGGAACUGGACGAUCUUUGAGAUCUUUUUCAACCCAGGCCAUUCUAUGAUUCAUUCUUUGAUUCUGUAUAAACAUUAAUACAUACACGUGUAUAAAAUAUUAUCACUCUGCAGCUGCAUUUGACUAUCAUCACAGAGCUUGUAUGCAUUCUAAUAAAUUCAUCAAAGGAAAAGAUCAGGCAGGUGCCAAGUGCUGCAAAAUGACCUGGACAAAGAAUGCAGAGGGUUUAGGAGUGCUUUGCAUAAAUAGGAGAAUUAUGUGCUUCACGGAGCAAGCAGUGUUCAGGUUUAAAGACACAGAUGUGUGACAGGCAUUCAGACAGUAAAUUCUGCACCUCCAGUGAUUCUGUGAUAGAAAUGUGUGCCUAUACCUCUGUAUAAUCUGCAACAAUCGAUAAAAUCAAGCAGGUUUUUUAUGAAAACAGUUUUAUUGGAAACUUUUUUAACAGUUUAAGACUCUCUCUUGUAAGUAACUGUCCCUGGACUACUGAGGUGGGUGGAGGGCUCCAUCCCCUCCUGGCAGCCCAGGGCUGAGCCCAUAUCCCUUCCAGGACCUGGCUGCAGCACCUGCUCGCUGUUUGGCAGCCUGACAUGCUUUCUGGUUUGUCCCUUUGGAUAGUGAUAUGCUGAUUCAAGCUGUACAGGAGAAACCAACAACUCAACUCUGUAUUGUGAUGAGACUCUCAGUGCUGUAUGGACAGAAUGGGGAAGCAUUCAAGCGCGUUUCCUUUCUCAGCACGUGGGAUACAGGAGGGCAGCAAAGCAUCACCUGUGAUGAACCACUCAUGUAUCCUUCUUGUAUCUGCAGGUCAGCUGCUGUUUAUGUUCGUUAGUAAAUUAUGUGCCAACCUCAUCACGUCACCCUGCAAUCACAGUGCUGUGUUCCAUGUGUCCAACCUCCAUACAUUUGUGUUUAUAUUGAGCUAUUGCAUCCUGCUCAGGGGUGAGGGCACCUCUCUGCUGCUGCACAAAUUGGAGAACUUCUGCUUCACCAAAGCUCAUAAUGCCUUCAAGGCAUCGGUUCCUCUCAUAGCAUUUCCCAAUCAAAGUAUUAAAAUGAGAGUUUUAUAUCCAGCCAAUACUCUUCUCAUAGCUGAUAAAGGCAAAUGAGGAAUCAUUUAUAUGAUUUAGGUUAUGAGAAGAGUAUAGGAAGAGAAUAUAAGCAAAGCAUUUAUUUCCCACCUGUAUAGAAAUGAAGCUGCUGUUUCUAAUAAAUCCUACUUGAAAAGAUGGCACUGUUAUGAAAGAACGGAGAGAGAGACCUGAGGCUUUACCUUCGUGCUGCUCCAGCCCCCAGGAGUUCAAGUGGGUUUUCUCUUUCCCAGCCCUUGAAUCAGCAGGCAGAAACUGUGGGUGCUGGCUGAAAGGGGGAGGAUGCUCUGAAGUGAGAUGUAGCUGCACCACAGCCUGGAGGCAGAAGGAGGGCUGUGUGUGCUCAGGGCUGCUGGGGGGGGAGGGUGGUUCGGAAAGCAAAACGAUCCUAUUCAACAAUAGAGGAGAAAUUAGGAGCUUGAAAAUAGCAGCAAAUUGGAAUGAAAAGAAUGCCAAUUACCAACUUUGAUCCCUCUUUUCUUUAUUUUUGUUUGAAAGAAAUAUUUUGUGAUAGGCACAUCUUGAAGUUUUCCACUUUUCUUUUGUUUUAAGCAGUGGGAGAUUUGGUAAACCUGUCCUUUAUCCUGCAAAUUCCCACCCUGAACCCUUUGUCCUAAAACUUCUGACUAAUUUCUAGGUAUUUUGAAUACUUAAGUUUGAGAAGACGUGGGAACUGACGACUUCUGUCCUCCGAGGAGAUGGCAUGAAUUACUGCAAUUGGAAAAUAAUUAAGAAGCAAUUACAGAAGCAAACAGAAAUCCUGUGCGUACAGCCAGGCCAUUAAAAUAUGUUCUCUAAGAAAUUACCACAACCACGCUGGAAAGAAAAGCGACAUUUAAAUAAAGUUAUGGUUAUAACAAACUAAAAAGGAAGAAAAAAACCAAAGCAAUUCGUCCUGGAAAAACAAGCAUUGGCUGCUCUGUGACUGUGCUGCAAACGGGAGUGUGUGCAAGUGGGACACGAGGGGAGAACAGCUUCAUGCCUCCCUUCUCCAGCAAGCAGUUUCAGUGCAUACUUGCACAUAUGUUUCUUAGUAAAUCACAGUAAUGACCCUAAUUCCAUGAGGAGGACCUAAAGCAAAUGCUGCCCCUGGGCUGCUACUCACCCAUCCACAACUGCUCUACGAGGUUAGCACUUGUUUUCUUCUCUAUUUCCAUCCAGACUGCUGUAACUGAAUGGGGAGAACAAUCUGAGAACUGUUAGAGAAGUAUUUGGGAUGUAACAGCUGCAUUAAUACCUAUUUGGGGUCACAGUUAGAGAAACGUGCGGUUCUUUCAGUUCACACAGACGUGGUGGGAUUUCUGUUAGGCAGCCACAGAGAAUUAAAAGCUCACUUUGAAAAGCCCUGGAUGGGGCUGAGUGACAAAUUGAGCUGCUUGUAGAGUCACCUGUAUUUUUAUAUGCGCACAGGAAAGGCAGAUUUUGUUCUGUUUCUGACAAGCAGUUACUGUAGCACCCUUUCAGUUUUGCAGGCAUUAGAGACUUCAGUUUGCUGCACAAAAUAAUGAGUUACGCUGUGUCUGCAUUAAACAACAGAGAUACAUGUCAGCAUUUCCAUGUCAUCCUUCUGUCACAGUAAAUGAAUGACAGUACAACAUAUGGGCUCAUUAGGUAACAUCCAACAGGUUAAUAGCCAUCGAUGUGUUGGAUUUCAGUUAUGCGUGUGUAAGUGUUUUUAGAUAUGCCAGCAAAUGAAGCCGGAGGGAAGAAAAUUUCACGAAAGCCAAAAUAAUUUGAGAGAGCAUUUGCAAAAAUGAAGUGCUGAAUUUAACCAUUUCAGUGCAUGUUGAGCUGCAAGCAGUAGGAACAGCCUCGUGCAGUUCUCAUUUUCAAUACGAUCUGCUCAAAGAAGUUCAAGUGGAUAAUAAAUACACUUCAACAAAUAAAGAUCUGUUUGAAGAGAGCUUCUGGGAUUGUGGGAAUAAAAGCCUGAGGGUAACUUCAGUCCGAUCACUGCUAAAAUCCAGACUGUAACAUUGAGGUGAUAAACAAAUGAGACUUAAGGAGCCACAGGCCUUGGGAUUAAGAGUCAGAAUAAGAACAUGAGGUACAUUUACUUCAUUGUGCAAUGUAAAUAACCCAUUUAAAAAUUAACGUUGUUGCACUGACAAUGCAUUGCUAGAUAGGAGAACACAUGCAGUCAUUGUUCUCCCCGCCUCUUUUAUUUUACUUAUACUAACCCCUUGGAGCAGCCGGCUGCUCAGCCGUGAUAGCGAUGCUCACAACCUCCUUCCUUCCCAGAAGUCUCCACAGUCUCCAGGAUCUUGCUCCAGUGACAUCCACUGCCAAUGUUUCUCCACUUAGAAUACGUCCUGGCAUCCUUGUGAUUAUCUUCUGCUGUGCUCUGUUCAGUGGAUAAACCGGAGGCAGUUACUGACAUAUAAAACUCUCAGUGGUCAGAGCCACCAAAGCUCUGUAGGUGGAUGUGAGUCUGUGAGACUGGCUUUGUAAACUUGGGUUGUGUGUAAAGGGGAGAUGUGUCUUCAGUGUCUUGCAACACCAAUGAUUGCUAAAACCAACAUGAAGCCCGAACUGCCCCAUGCAGCGUUUGCUCUCAGCCCCUGGAAUUAGUCUUGAAUUCUCAUGAUAGAAGGAUGUGCUCAUAAUUCAGAAAGUAAACAUACACAGCUACCUCUGUGCCUUUAUGGGGAGGGUGACAGAGCACUGGAACAGGCUCCCCAGGGAGGUGGUGGAGUCUCUUUGUAUGGAGAUAUUCAAGACCUGUCUGGACACCUACAUGUAUGACCUAUUAUAGGGUACCUACUCUAGCAGGGGGUUAGACUUGAUCUUUUGAGGUCCCUUCCAACCCCUGUGGUUCUGUGACUGUGUUUCUGUAAUACACACAAGCAACACCUACAGUAUACGUAGCUUGAUGUACAUAGUCUUAUAUGUAAAUGUUUAUAUAACCACGAUUUAAAGUCUGAUCAUAUUUCCACCAGCUUUCUCUCUUGAUCCUGAUGCAAUGCACUGUAGCAUGUCCUGGCUGUCUGUACCAUACCCUUUGGCCUGAUAUCUGUGGCUACAUACCUAUAGCGGCUAUCAAAGAGGGGGUGGGGGAUCCUGCUUUGCCACAGGGACAUGAUUAAGAUCCCCUUAGCACAUUGACCAUGACAUCUGCAGGUCAUGCACCUAUUGCUGGGGGGACUACCAAUCCUCCAACCUCCAAUCAUCUCCCCUAGGUGCAAGUAGGCCACACCACAUUGGUCCUACUUGCACUUUCCAAGGCCAUUCUAUUUUAUGGGUACCAGGUUCUAGGUUUUCAGGGGCAGGGAGCAGAAGAUUAUUUUAAUUGCCAGUUUGGGGUCUUACCUGAUUAUCGGUGCCCAUAAUUUGGAUCCUUAGCAGGGAAGCCCAUGUUGCCUGCAGCAUCUUUAGGGCAUUGGGUCUGCCAUCUCUAGGCCUUUCAUUCAGGUUCUGCAGGGCUUCAUAGAGUCUUUGUCCACCCCUGCAGGGACUGAGAGUCUGUCUUCAGGGCAGUCUUCAGAAUACCAUUAUAGCAUUCAAUAAGGCCUGUCCCCACCAGAUUGUAUGGCAGAUGGAAUCACCACUCAAUGUUGUUUUCUUCUGUCCAGCACUGUACCACUGCACCAGUGAAAUAAGUCAUCGAGAGUGACCAAGGGACUCGAAGUGUUCCGUAGGCAGCCAUCAUCUUGGUAAGCACCUUAAUGGCAUAUCCCUGGUUUGCUUUGGCACUGGAUAGCCCUGCAAUAGCCCAUUUGCUGUGUUGAUGCAGGUCAGGGCAUAUCUUCCAUAUAUCAGGCAUCUUCAGGAAUGGCCUACAAGCCUGGUCUUUACAACUUCUGUGGGUUUAUAGCCCACCCUUUUUUUUUUUGUAGAUAGGUAGCCAGUAAGACUGCUGCCUUUCCUAAUGCCUUCAGUGAGUCUGAUGUCAGCAUGAGAUCAUCAAUAUAGUGGUACAGCUUGAUGUUAUUAGAAUUAUUUCAGUCUGCUAGGUCAUGCGCCACUAAGUUAUGACAAUAUGUAGGCAAGUGCACAUACCCUUGCGGCAGGAACCAAGAGGUCCACUGCCUGCCUCCCCACAUAAAUGCAAACUGAACUUGUAAUUCUUUGUGGAUGGGAAGGGAAUACAUUUGCAAAGUCUAGGACACACUAUUUGGUUUCUAACUCCGCACUCAAUGUAUCCACCAGGGAGACAAUAUUGGGUACAGCUGCAUGAAUGGGCAGUGUGACCUUAUUCAGUUCUACAUAAUCCACUGUCAUUCUCCAUGUGCUGUCUGACUUCCACACUGGCCAUAUGGGGGAAUUGGAUGGGCUAUAUGCAGGUCUUAUGAUCCCUACUUUUUCUAGCUCCUGAACCAUUCUAAGUAUUUCCUCUUGACCCUCUGGGAAUCUAUACUGUUUAGUACUAGUAAUCUAGCACAGAAUGGGCAAGUGAAUACGUUCACGUUUCACAUGGCCUCUUAAUAUUGCCUGCACUACCUGGAAACUAAUACAUCUCUCUCUCUCAGUCUGAGCUCUCCUAUGGUCAUCUGGAGAGUCAGACCCCAUAACAUGUCUGUGCCUGUUAUAUACUUCAGAACUGGGGCAAUAGACACCUUACACUCCUGGUGUGGAAGACACCCAACUUUAACGGUGUCUGGGUUACAGGCACGGUCUAUGCCCCAAACCCACCAAUCACCACCUCAUCUCCAUGGAAUUUGGUUGGAUCACCAUAAAUAAUUGACAUUUCUGCACCCACAUCAGCUAGUGCCAUAACUCACCCUAUAUUCUUUUGGGACCAAAACACAGUCAGUUUAAUAUAGGGGCCCCCAGGCAGGACUGGAGGCCCCAGGUACAGAGGGGCUAGCAUCCCUUUCAUGCAAGUAGCUGAGAAUCGCCAAUUCCUUUUCCUCAGGUGACUCUGGCAUAGAGGCCUGGGUCAAUUCAGGAGGCUUUUUGCUUUUAUUAGGAACUAGGAAAUUUUCCAGGUUCCACGUUGUUGUUGUUGUUUCGGUUAUUUUUUCCUCCAGUAAUUCUCACCCCUGCUUUUUGAGGAUAUUUUGAAACUUCUGCUUCAGGGUCCCAGUAAUCAUCCUGCACAUGAUUUUUUUAAGGUAAUCCACAUAAAUAAGUAGCUGGCAUACCAAGUGCAGUACUGUAAUGCUAUAACGUGGUAGAAAGCACAGCAAUAAGGGAGAGUGGCACAAUCCUAGGCUACACCAAACGAGAACAAGCCCAAAUGCAGCAGCCAGCCAGGGAUGCAAAAACAAAGGAAGAAAAACUGCUUACCUUUAGAAGGCCUCCAGGGAGCAGAGAUCUCAAGCAAGAUGCUUUCACCUCCACUGCCAGCCCUUAAAUGAGGCCUGGGAAGGGGAGGAUCCUGACUCCACCCUUCUGGUCACUCAGCUGCAUUGCAUUGCAUUGCAUUGCAUUGCAUUACAUGCACCUGAGAUCCCCUGGGCUGGCCCUGCCUUCCCACCAGGUGCUCAAUCACUGCUUCAGGCCGUUACUUAGCAUUGCCACUACAGGUCCCCCACAUGGAACAUUCCUUUUACUUCCCAGUUAAAAGUACUUGUUUAGGUUUUUUGUUUUUUCCCGGUGACAAAGAGUGAUGCUCAGUAGCCACGUUUACAGAGUGCUCAAAUCCCUACCGACAGACUGCUUUUGUCAUGAAAAGCAAAGUUGUCAUGGUGACAGAGCAGCCUGAUGCCUCACUGCACGGAAGUGCCAGCAGGAGGUGGGAGCGGAGGGGCACAUGGGGUCAAUGAGUGCGGUCCCGCAGUCACCCGACUUUUCACAGCAUUAACAGUGCAUCUCUCGGAUAACGGAGGUAACAGGAUGUGCAUAAGAAAAGUGGAAACUUCUUUCAUUCACUGCUGAUGGGAGAAAAGGAGUCAUCUGCGGAGUUAUUUCAACAGAGAGAUAUGUGACCGGCAUCGAGACGAGAGCCAUGACAUUCUUCUGACA